AUCAGAGCGCGCGCUUUACUUUGGUUAUGUUAUAAUGUUAUUUUGAAGUCAUAAAAAUGUUUUUAAGUGUUGUAACAAUCUUGUCUCCUGAAUUGCCGUUUAGGUAAUUGCCUUGUUGUAUUGUUUGUUUGGCUGUUUUAUUUAUUUAUUUUUGUAACAAAGUGAAUCUUUGAUGUUUGUUUUUGCUAACAGACUCGCUCGCGGUCGUGAUGAGUGGGAAAGCGCCGCCCUUCAGAAUGCGAACACCAAGUGCAAUGGUCUUUUACCAAUCUGGGGUCCUCAGGUCUCUGAAUCAGCGUUUGCGAGCUGCUUGGCAAG